rnacentral:rRNA from 1 species
GACGAACGCUGGCGGCGUGCCUAAUACAUGCAAGUAGAACGCUGAAGGAGGAGCUUGCUUCUCUGGAUGAGUUGCGAACGGGUGAGUAACGCGUAGGUAACCUGCCUGGUAGCGGGGGAUAACUAUUGGAAACGAUAGCUAAUACCGCAUAAGAGUAGAUGCCGCAUGACAUUUGCUUAAAAGGUGCAAUUGCAUCACUACCAGAUGGACCUGCGUUGUAUUAGCUAGUUGGUGAGGUAACGGCUCACCAAGGCAACGAUACAUAGCCGACCUGAGAGGGUGAUCGGCCACACUGGGACUGAGACACGGCCCAGACUCCUACGGGAGGCAGCAGUAGGGAAUCUUCGGCAAUGGACGGAAGUCUGACCGAGCAACGCCGCGUGAGUGAAGAAGGUUUUCGGAUCGUAAAGCUCUGUUGUAAGAGAAGAACGAGUGUGAGAGUGGAAAGUUCACACUGUGACGGUAUCUUACCAGAAAGGGACGGCUAACUACGUG